CUCUGAUCUAAAUCACCUUUUGGUCGUUGCUAACCCUACACCAGGGGUAAGCAUAAUUUUGGUAGCCCUGUUCCGACAUAGUUUUGAAGUACUUUUGAGGGUCUGGCCUUAUUGGGUCUUUUUUUGUUGUUGUAAUUCUUUUAUUUUUUUCAGUAGUUGGUUAGUCUGAGACAUGUACUGGUCUUAGUGUGGACAUAAAGAUAUGAUUAAACAGGUACUGCCUAAGAACAAAAGUUAUACGAACAAGAGUAAGCAGUGUACUUUAACACAGGAGUAUCAAUAGAAAGACAUACUGCAGGCUUAGAGUAAAAAUAAGAGUGAAAAAGAAAAACCACUGGGUGCUCACAGAAUAGGGAAAAUGAUCAUACAUAUCAAUAUUAUAAGCAAGGAAAUGCAUUAAGAUAGAGGCCUUGUAAUCUGUUCAUGUGUGGUAAGUAAAUAAAAGGAAUGGCAGGAGCAAUAACUAAGGUUGAUUAAAGCAUGAUAAAAACAAGCCUAAAACUGCAGGUAGGUGUAUAAGGCAAAAAACAUUAAGUGCUCAGGUAGGCUAUGAGAUCUCCAUACUAAAGUACUGCAAAGAUAUUGUGCACUCUGAUAAGACUGACAAUGAGAUCACUUGGUAGGUAUAUUAAGUAGGUAACAUGCUAGGGACAUAAUAUUUAUAUAUUGCCUAGUUUGAGCCAAACUAUGGAGGCAGUUCGGUACCGGGCAAAAGAUUAGUUCACCCUAUGCCACAGGUGGGCCAUGGCUUUAAGUCCAGUUUCUGGCUGCAACUGAUGGGACCGCAGCCCCAGAGACAGACAACAGACCUUCCUCAUGCCAAGCCUACUGCUCCUCCACGCUAUGGUAAGAUUCAGGCUGUGUUAGCUUGCUUGUGGAUGGUUGAGUGUGAGACAUCAGAGCCUUGGAUCUUCGGCCCCAGACCUCAGUGGGCGCCACCUGUGUAUGUCCGUGGAUCCCCACUCUCUGAGCAGCUGGAACGUGGGCCCAUGGGUUAUCUGCGUGCGGGAUAUCCCCAUGAGUGUAUGGACUGUGGUCUGGAGGCAACUCCAUGUGGGCCCCCGGCCCGGGAGAGGAACAGUCUGUUGAGUCUGCCGCUUGCGGUAGAUCUGCAGCUAGGGGGAUUUGGUGCAGCACGAUGGGCAAUGCAGUGCCAGAAAUCAUGGCAGAUGGCGUUGAACCGAGCCUCAAAGAGGAUUCUCCACUGUUAGCCCUCCAGGACCAGGCUACGGUGCUCAGCUUCCCACGUGGUGGCCAUCUUGAUCGCGGUAUGCAGUGCUUCAGGCUCAGAGCUUUCAGGUACGAGUUUCGCCUGACUGAGUGGGGGCUGGGAUAUCCCCCGCCAGUCC